rnacentral:rRNA from 1 species
GUGCAGCAGGCGAGAAUUUUUCUCAAUGGGGGCAACCCUGAAGGAGCGACGCCGCGUGGAGGAUGAAGGCUUUCGGGUUGUAAACUCCUGUCAUUUGAGAACAAGUGCCAACAAGUAACUACUGUUGGCUUGAUAGUAUCAGAAGAGGAAGGGACGGCUAACUCUGUGCCAGCAGCCGCGGUAAUACAGAGGUCCCAAGCGUUGUUCGGAUUCAUUGGGCGUAAAGGGUGCGUAGGUGGCGUGGUAAGUCGGGUGUGAAAUUUCGGAGCUUAACUCCGAAACUGCAUUCGAUACUGCCGUGCUUGAGGACUGGAGAGGAGACUGGAAUUUACGGUGUAGCAGUGAAAUGCGUAGAGAUCGUAAGGAAGACCAGUGGCGAAGGCGGGUCUCUGGACAGUUCCUGACACUGAGGCACGAAGGCUAGGGGAGCAAACGGGAUUAGAUACCCCUGUAGU